UCCGCAGGGGUUUGCCAAGUCUGAUGUGAAAUCCCGUGGCUCAACUGCGGAAUGGCAUUGGAAACUGGCGGACUGGAGUCUGCGAGAGGUGAGCGGAAUUCCUGGUGUAGCGGUGGAAUGCGUAGAUAUCAGGAAGAACACCAAUGGCGAAGGCAGCUCACUGGCGCAGUACUGACCCUCAGGGACGAAAGCGUGGGGAGCAAACA
rnacentral:rRNA from 1 species